AUUGAACGCUGGCGGCAUGCUUUACACAUGCAAGUCGAACGGUAACAGGCCGCAAGGUGCUGACGAGUGGCGAACGGGUGAGUAAUGCAUCGGAACGUGCCCAGUCGUGGGGGAUAACUACUCGAAAGAGUAGCUAAUACCGCAUACGAUCUAUGGAUGAAAGCGGGGGACGGUAAGCCCUCGCGCAGUUGGAUGGUCGGAUGUCAGAUUAGGUAGUUGGUGGGGUAUAGGCGCACCAAGCCAACGAUCUGUAGCUGGUCUGAUAGGACGACCAGCCACACUGGGACUGAGACACGGCCCAGACUCCUACGGGAGGCAGCAGUGGGGAAUUUUGGACAAUGGGCGCAAGCCUGAUCCAGCAAUGCCGCGUGCAGGAAGAAGGCCUUCGGGUUGUAAACUGCUUUUGUACGGAACGAAACGGCUCUGGUUAAUACCCGGGGCUAAUGACGGUACCGGAAGAAUAAGCACCGGCUAACUACGUG
rnacentral:rRNA from 1 species